rnacentral:rRNA from 1 species
UGGGGAAUAUUGGACAAUGGGCGAAAGCCUGAUCCAGCCAUGCCGCGUGUGUGAAGAAGGUCUUCGGAUUGUAAAGCACUUUAAGUUGGGAGGAAGGGCAGUAAGCGAAUACCUUGCUGUUUUGACGUUACCGACAGAAUAAGCACCGGCUAACUCUGUGCCAGCAGCCGCGGUAAUACAGAGGGUGCAAGCGUUAAUCGGAAUUACUGGGCGUAAAGCGCGCGUAGGCGGUUCGUUAAGUUGAAUGUGAAAGCCCCGGGCUCAACCUGGGAACUGCAUCCAAAACUGGCGGGCUAGAGUAGGGCAGAGGGUGGUGGAAUUUCCUGUGUAGCGGUGAAAUGCGUAGAUAUAGGAAGGAACACCAGUGGCGAAGGCGACCACCUGGGCUCAUACUGACACUGAGGUGCGAAAGCGUGGGGAGCAAACAGG